GCGUAAAGGGCUCGCAGGCGGUUUCUUAAGUCUGAUGUGAAAGCCCCCGGCUCAACCGGGGAGGGUCAUUGGAAACUGGGGAACUUGAGUGCAGAAGAGGAGAGUGGAAUUCCACGUGUAGCGGUGAAAUGCGUAGAGAUGUGGAGGAACACCAGUGGCGAAGGCGACUCUCUGGUCUGUAACUGACGCUGAGGAGCGAAAGCGUGGGGAGCGAACAGGAUUAGAUACCCUGGUAGUCCACGCCGUAAACGAUGAGUGCUAAGUGUUAGGGGGUUUCCGCCCCUUAGUGCUGCAGCUAACGCAUUAAGCACUCCGCCUGGGGAGUACGGUCGCAAGACUGAAACUCAAAGGAAUUGACGGGGGCCCGCACAAGCGGUGGAGCAUGUGGUUUAAUUCGAAGCAACGCGAAGAACCUUACCAGGUCUUGACAUCCUCUGACAAUCCUAGAGAUAGGACGUCCCCUUCGGGGGCAGAGUGACAGGUGGUGCAUGGUUGUCGUCAGCUCGUGUCGUGAGAUGUUGGGUUAAGUCCCGCAACGAGCGCAACCCUUGAUCUUAGUUGCCAGCAUUCAGUUGGGCACUCUAAGGUGACUGCCGGUGACAAACCGGAGGAAGGUGGGGAUGACGUCAAAUCAUCAUGCCCCUUAUGACCUGGGCUACACACGUGCUACAAUGGACAGAAC
rnacentral:rRNA from 1 species